AUGAGGGCAACUAUCCUACUCA
rnacentral:siRNA from 1 species